AUUGAACGCUAGCGGCAGGCCUAACACAUGCAAGUCGAGCGCGCGGCGGACGGGUGAGGAAUGUCUAGGAAACCGCUCGCUGGAGGGGGAUAACACCUGGAGACGGUAUCUCUUAUCGCACACCAUCAGAUGUGUCCCGAUGGGAUUAGCUAGUGGGUGGGGUAACGGCCCACCAAGGCGACGAUCCCUAGCUGGUUUGAGAGGAUGACCAGCCACACUGGAACUGAGACACGGUCCAGACUCCUACGGGAGGCAGCAGUGGGGAAUAUUGGACAAUGGGGGAAAGCCUGAUGCAGCCAUGCCGCGUGUGUGAAGAAGGCCUUCGGGUUGUAAAGCACUUUCAGCGGGGAGGCGUUACCCGCAGAAGAAGCACCGGCUAACUCCGUGCCAGCAGCCGCGGUAAUAC
rnacentral:rRNA from 1 species